GCGCUCAUAGCUCAGUGGAUCAGAGCAUCUGGCUUCGAACCAGAGGGUCGGGAGUUCAAAUCUCUCUGGGCGCG
rnacentral:tRNA from 1 species